CGUGUCAUUUGGGAUACGCUAUAGGCACAUGUUGAUAUCCAGUCACCGUAGCGGGCACCUGUCGUAGAUAUGAACGCCGACAAAGUGUGGAAUGGUGCUCAAAGUGUAUCUGCCAUCAAAUCUGUACGAGCUGUACGUGCCGUGUUUUAACGGUGACCAAGUUACUAAUCCGAUUUUCUGACUGAGCUCGUUGCUCUUGCUUUUAUUUACUUAUUUAUGUUUACGUAAAUUUACUCAGGCAGCGUUACAUUGACUUGAAUUAACAGUAGAGAGAGGGG